rnacentral:rRNA from 1 species
AUGAACGCUAGCGACAGGCCUAACACAUGCAAGUCGAGGGCAGCACAAGGAGCAAUCUGAGGUGGCGACCGGCGCACGGGUGAGUAACACGUAUGCAACCUGCCUGUAAGCGGGGAAUAACCCGUUGAAAGACGGACUAAUACCGCAUAAUACUAAAUUACUGCAUGGUAAUUUAUUUAAACAUUUAUGGCUUACAGAUGGGCAUGCGCAUGAUUAGCUAGUUGGAGAGGUAACGGCUCCCCAAGGCAACGAUCAUUAGGGGUUCUGAGAGGAAGGUCCCCCACACUGGUACUGAGACACGGACCAGACUCCUACGGGAGGCAGCAGUGAGGAAUAUUGGUCAAUGGACGAGAGUCUGAACCAGCCAAGUCGCGUGCAGGAAGAAUGUUCCCUAUGGAUUGUAAACUGCUUUUGCAGGGGAAUAAAGUGCAUCACGUGUGAUGUUUUGUAUGUACUCUGCGAAUAAGGAUCGGCUAACUCCGUGCCAGCAGCGGC